rnacentral:ncRNA from 2 species
UAAAUGGGCUAGGGGUGCGCCGACUGACCCGACUCGGUGCUGAGAGACACCCUUUGAACCUGAUUCCGGUUAAUACCGGCGUAGGGAAGCUCGGGUCUGUCCCU